GAGGGGGCUGGCUCUUGCUUAAACUCUUGAAACACUAGGAUUGGUUGGUUCAGGAAAAUGAAUUCUAUGACGCUGUUGUAAAACCACCUCUGAUUGGGCCGAUCCAAAAGCGGUGAUAACAAGCCGGAGAGUGUCAGAAGCAGGAAAUCUCCCUCAUUCUACAGAAAGACGGGCAAAGGGUUAAACCAGAAAAGCUGCCUCGUUUUACAAAAAGACUGCAAAGGGCAGUCCAGGCUGUUUGGCUGAGUCCAGAGGGCUCAGGGGGUUAUGUGUGAUUGACCCAAGUAGAAUGGAAGGUCAAAUAAGGACCAGGA